rnacentral:rRNA from 1 species
UACGAAGGUGGCAAGCGUUGUUCGGAUUUACUGGGCGUAAAGGGUGCGUAGGUGGUUAGGUAAGCCCUCCGGGAAAUCUUCAGGCUUAACCUGAAAAGGUCGGGGGGGACUGCCUAGCUAGAGGGCGGGAGAGGAGCGCGGAAUUCCCGGUGUAGCGGUGAAAUGCGUAGAGAUCGGGAGGAAGGCCGGUGGCGAAGGCGGCGCUCUGGAACGUUUCUGACACUGAGGCUCGAAAGCGUGGGGAGCAAACAGG